GGAAGCUACAAAAAUAUGGAGAAAGAAGCAAGCAGCUGCUAACUGGAUGAAAGACAUAAAAGGGAACAGAUAAUCGGCUUUAAUGUCUGAUGCAUCGGAUUUAUUUAUGGACUCUGUAGUUAUUUAACAACGUUUGGAUUAGAAGGCCUACCUUUUAUCUUCAGUUCAUGAAGCACAAUUAAACCCGUGUUUAAUUCUCUGUCUAAUCACAUGUAAAAAUGGUGCGUAACAACAGGAUCACAGCUUCUCACUCCACCAAAGACUUCACAAACCCGUGGCCACCGUGAAAAUAGAAACAAUGGAAUCAACCCGCAAGUGCUUAUUGUGUUUCACGGUCUCUCUCGCCUUGUAGCCCAGACGGAACUGCUGGAACUAAACCUCCUGACUCAGCCUCCAGAGUGCAAGUCUGAAUGCAGGCGAUCGUUUGAAAGUGAGACACCCUAGAAGACCCAUUACCAGGCAUAGAUUGCCAACUUCUAUCUUGAAUUCAUCAUUAAAUUCCCUCCAAAAACAAUCUGUCUUCUCAAAGUGAAAGGUUACACAGAAAACAGCCUCUCCCUAAGCCCAGCCGAAGCAGAGGAUGCUGUAAAGCGAAGAGAGAAACUAGGGGAGGCCUCCCUUGUUCCCUGAGACAAGCAGCUUGUAACAGCUUCCAGCCGGAACUCACUAAACAGGCCCUUCACCAGGGACACACUGUCGCCCAGCUCUGAGACGGACUUAGUUUUCCCGAUGUGCUCGAGGCUCUCGAUGGAAGAAAACAACCCGUGAUCUCUUUUGGAAAUCCUCACUUGGGCUGUUUGAAGCCACCAUCAAAAAUUAAGCUUUUUCUUCAACCUCUACAGAGAUGGAGAAACCACGUGAUUACUGCUUCCUGAACAGUGUCCUGGGCCUGGAUUUUUCUAAGGAAGUUAUCACUGAAGCAAAUUUCCAGGUCAUCAGAGUACACAGACCUUUAAGGUCACAUGCAUGCCUGGCUCUGGAGUCCAUCCCCAGAGACCGUGUGACAGAGGUCCUGAUGAGCACCAAUGAGUUAACUCACCUCACUUAAACACACAGUGGCUCAAAUAGACUUAUCAUAGCUGUUUAUGAUAAAGAAAAUAAGAAUCUGAUAUUGUAAUUUUAAAGACUUCAGUGGUAUCUAACGGGUAUAUGUUUUGAAACAUUUUACGAUGUUCACAGUACAGUAUUUCCUACAGUCAGAGCAAAGAUGAAAACAUGGGUUUAUUUUGGGUUCCUUCCUAGUCUUGCUAAAUGUCUGGGAUAUAGUUGCUUAGGCGUAUAUACUAUACUUGAUACAUUUUUUUCAUGUCAGUCUAAUUUGGGCCUCUUCUCAACCAAAUUCCCAAUUCAAAC